UGCAGAAUCUAUGUUUACGUCCUAGGCAUGCAUUUUAACCCUUCUUUCAGUAAUUGUUAAGGGUCUUAUGGAGCUGCAAAGAAUGUAGAAGAUUGACUUUAAUAACUUUUGGAGAAUCUCAUGACCCAAAACACAAAAAGUGUGCUUGUCUUUCUACUGGAGCUCACCUUGGGCUGAUACUGUAGCUCCAGGUAGGAUAAACCCACCUCCAUCACCCCAGGUUGGAGCAAUUCCUAAGGAGAGUUUUGAAAGACAGCAUGGUCAACAGGCAUGUUCUUUUCAGGGCUUAAGAGAACAAUAUGAGGAAGUGAACAAAGUUUAAGAAAGGUGGGGAAUUACAUGUCACAAUGACCUUGCCUUGGCUGAGUGACUUUAGAAAGGUGACUUUCGUUAUCCAUGACACACUCCUUUGUGACACGGGGCUGAUGCUGCCUUUGUCAUUGUGGGGCUUCUAGGAGAUGCUUGUGGGACAUUUGGCUGAUGUCGGAGCCUGAUGGGAGCGUACAAGCAGCCAUCCUGUGCAGGGUGCCCACAGUGUGCUGGAGAUUCACGUGCAGCAUCUUCUUUGAUUAUCAGGAUAACUCCAGGGCUCUAGUCCCACUUUCAUGUCGUGAUGGAGCCAGUGCAGUGAUGAACAGCAACGGGUGCACGGAGGAAAAGGAGGACUCGGAAAUACACCUAGGACGGGGACAGCUGUUUUGGGAUGAAGAAUGGGUUUGGCAGAUCAGUCGGAAGUAAGAUAUUUCUCUCUGGUCAUUGUUUCAGUCAGUUCUCUGGUAAAAGCCAGACUAGUUAAGUCACCAUGUAGGUGUUAAUCUAACAUAGCAACUCUUUUUUUUUUUUUGGUACUGGGGAUUGAACUCAACAUAGCGAUUCUUAAAAUGUGACCAGGGAAUCCCUAGUGAUCCUCAAAGUUCUUUCCAGAGGGAUUCACAGAAUCAGAACUAUUUUCGUAGUAAUAUUAAAAUGUCAUUUGCCUUUUUUUACUCAUUCUUUCACAGUAUGUGGUGGGGUUUUCCAAGAGCAUCACUGUAUGUGGUGAUUUUAUCCCUCUAGCAACCAACAAAAUGUGUGCUUACAUACUCUGUGUUUUAAAUUUUUCUGUUUUAAUUUCUAAACGGGUAAAUACCCAUAGCUAUAAACCACAUGAACAAAAGUCCUUCAGACUCUUUCAUUUUUUUUUUUUUUUUUUUUUUUUUUUUUUUUUUUUUUUUUUUUUUUUUUUUUGGGUUUUUGAGACAGGGUCUCACUAUGUAGUUGAGACUGACCUGGAACUCACUAUGUAACCC
rnacentral:lncRNA from 1 species